UACGGAGGAUGCAAGCGUUAUCCGGAUUCAUUGGGUUUAAAGGGUGCGUAGGCGGACUAUUAAGUCAGUGGUGAAAGCCUGCAGCUUAACUGCAGAACUGCCAUUGAUACUGAUAGUCUUGAGUUUGGUUAAGGUAGGCGGAAUGUGUAAUGUAGCGGUGAAAUGCUUAGAUAUUACACAGAACACCAAUUGCGUAGGCAGCUUACUGAGCCGACACUGACGCUGAGGCACGAAAACGUGGGGAUCGAACAGGA
rnacentral:rRNA from 1 species